rnacentral:rRNA from 1 species
CCUACGGGAGGCAGCAGUGAGGAAUAUUGGACAAUGGGCGCAAGCCUGAUCCAGCCAUGCCGCGUGCAGGAUGACGGUCCUAUGGAUUGUAAACUGCUUUUGUACAGGAAGAAACAGUUCUACGUGUAGAACCUUGACGGUACUGUAAGAAUAAGGAUCGGCUAACUCCGUGCCAGCAGCCGCGGUAAUACGGAGGAUCCAAGCGUUAUCCGGAAUCAUUGGGUUUAAAGGGUCCGUAGGCGGUUUAGUAAGUCAGUGGUGAAAGCCCAUCGCUCAACGGUGGAACGGCCAUUGAUACUGCUAAACUUGAAUUAUUAGGAAGUAACUAGAAUAUGUAGUGUAGCGGUGAAAUGCUUAGAGAUUACAUGGAAUACCAAUUGCGAAGGCAGGUUACUACUAAUUGAUUGACGCUGAUGGACGAAAGCGUGGGUAGCGAACAGGAUUAGAUACCCUGGUAGUCCACGCCGUAAACGAUGGAUACUAGCUGUUGGAAGCAAUUUCAGUGGCUAAGCGAAAGUGAUAAGUAUCCCCACCUCGGGAGGUACGGUUCGUCGAGAAGAGAACGUACAAAUAGUAAGUUAGUACGGCGUGAGACGUAGACCGAACGGACGACCGACCGAGGGGAGGGUUAGGGAG